UUGGUGGACGACACUGAACAGGGAACGCAGGAAGAGGACUGAGAAGCUCCUUACGGAACGCACGUAAACGAACGUUCGUCACGCAUCGCGGCGAUAAAGCCAGCCAGGUAUCUCGGGGAUAACGUUACUCUUGGCUGCGUGUGUGUUGUCCUGUAAUUCCAUUAAUGCACCUCCGCGGACAGGACGUUCGAAAAAACGCAGCAAGCCGGUUUCCAUGUGAAGAGGAGACUUUUUAGUGGAUAUCCGAAAACUAACCUCUGCCUGACGUGCGGCGAUAGUCCUCGAAACAGGAGCGUGUUACAACCAGGAUCGAAAAUCAACUGAAACGCGGAGCCGCACAGGUGUACCAGAGAGAUGCAUCACGGAAAGGAGGAGAAAAAGAGGAGAACCGUAACGACGACGGGUGAAAGCUGUUUUCUCGUUGCCGUACCGGCGCGGGCCAUGUUAACACGUCGAUUAUCCCGAACCGGAAUUACGGUCAAGGCUAGCGCCGAUCGGUCUCGAUUUCUAAGGUGACGCUCGAAGCGGAAUCACCGGCGACCGUCGGAAGGGAACGCGGAGCGCUGCUAUCAUCUCCGGCCGUCGUCGUCACCGGUUCACGUGUUCCGUGUGAUUAUCGACUUUACGGCGGAUCGGACUGCGCGCCUUUACGCGAAGUUAAAUGGAACGUUGGAAGAUUGCACGUUCCGGAACUAGUACGAGGACCGUGGGACUGGCUCGGCCCUCUUACGUCGAAUAUGGGAACUAGUAGUUCCCCGAGGAGAAUUAUUUUCAUGGAACCACCCUGUAUAUUAUAUGAAUGCGUCCAACUUCCCUAAUGCUUCCGACGUCGGACGGGGGAAGCGGUAAUAUCCUAGGGGAGACUGUGCUCGGAACAGCUCGUAUAUUAUGCGGAUGUGUUCUAACUUCUGUACUGCUUCUAAGGCUGGAGGACUGGUAACUCCCUAGCAGGAACUGUUUUCGUAGAAGUAGAUGUGUCCCAACUUCUGUACUGCUUCUAAUGCUGGAGGACUAAUAACUCCCUGGGAGGAAUCCUUUUCAUAGAAGCAUCCUGCAUGUUGUGUAGAAAUUCUGUAAUUCUUCUUUCAUUCCCAAGUGCAGUGGGAGACUUUGAAGCUCGAGGACUCGACCUAAAGGAACUUGGACACCCAGUACGUCCCAACUUCUGUACUAAUGCUGGAGAACUGAUAACUCUUCAAGAGAAAUUAUUUUGAUAGAACCAUCCAGCAUGCUGUAUAGAACUUCCCUGAUUCUUCUCUGAUUUCCAAGCGCAGUGGGAGCCAUUGAAGUUCGAGAAGUCGACUGAAAGGAACCCGGACACCUGCAGUCCGCUUCCUGCGUCCAUCGGGAAUUCCAUGCUUUCUAAAUCCAAGGGAUUCCGUUCACGGUGUUUCGCAAGAGAAGAAUUAACCGGCGGAGGGAAAAAUUUUCGUGGGUGAACCGACGACGCGUUAAACUCUGUUGACCUCUCGUGAUCAAGCGAACCGGCACUCUAGCCGUACAGGACGCGUGACCGUUUACCUGGAAGUCACGCCGGAUCAUUGAGCGCUAAUGGUAACGUUCGGCUAGUUCCGUUGAACAAUUUGCGACGGGGUGGCAGGCCUGGAGAAAUUUGCAAUUAAAACAACCGGGGCGGGGGCAGGAAAACUCCGAUUCCCCCCGUCGCGACGCCGGAGAUACGACGUUGUCGCUGGUGCGUCUCGUUGACGUGGUUAAACGAACUGAACACUUUGAAAUAAUGCAAGAUCAACGGCCUUGAAAUUUGUCGAUUUCGUUUUAUUUUACUCGAGAGAAUAAAGUGAUGUCUACACGUGCUACGAUACAGGGAACAGUAAUUAUUUCGUUUUAGAAAAUGAAGUAUGAUGUUGAGAGAUAUAAACGGAAUUUUGUCUUGUAGAUUGUUAGUCUUAAUUUAUUUAAUUGACGAGCGUAUAAGAAGAUUUACGUGUAACAAUGCUUCGUAAAAUGAAACACGACGAUAAAAAGAUACGAGAAUUUAGAUGGCGGUUCACGUAUAUGGUGAUUUUUAUAAACAAAUACCGAGAGAGUGAAAUUAAGUGGGAUUUUAUAGUCGAUAACGCAAUACCAUGGGUGGACAAAAAGGAAGCAUAAAAUUGUAUUAAAUUCCCACGAACUUCGCGUUUUAUUUUUAAGAAACUUUUAUGAGCUAUAUA